rnacentral:rRNA from 1 species
UUCCAGACUCCUACGGGAGGCAGCAGUGGGGGAUAUUGCACAAUGGGGGGAACCCUGAUGCAGCGACGCCGCGUGGGUGAAGGAGCGUUUCGGCGCGUAAAGCCCUAUCGGCAGGGAAGAAGGAGGACGGUACCUGACUAAGAAGCCCCGACUAACUACGUGCCAGCAGCCGCGGUAAUACGUAGGGAGCGAGCGUUGUCCGGAUUUACUGGGUGUAAAGGGGGCGCAGACGGCAGCGCAAGCCAGGAGUGAAAGCCCGGGGCCCAACCCCGGGACUGCUUUGGAAACUGUAAAACUGGAGUGCAGGAGAGGUAAGCGGAAUUCCUAGUGUAGCGGUGAAAUGCGUAGAUAUUAGGAGGAACACCAGUGGCGAAGGCGGCUUACUGGACUGUAACUGACGUUGAGGCUCGAAGGCGUGGGGAGCAAACAGGAUUAGAUACCCCCGUA